rnacentral:rRNA from 1 species
UAGGGAAUCUUCGGCAAUGGGGGGAACCCUGACCGAGCAACGCCGCGUGAGUGAAGAAGGUUUUCGGAUCGUAAAGCUCUGUUGUUAAGGAAGAACGAGUGUGAGAAUGGAAAGUUCAUGCUGUGACGGUACUUAACCAGAAAGGGACGGCUAACUACGUGCCAGCAGCCGCGGUAAUACGUAGGUCCCGAGCGUUGUCCGGAUUUAUUGGGCGUAAAGCGAGCGCAGGCGGUUAGAUAAGUCUGAAGUUAAAGGCAGUGGCUCAACCAUUGUAGGCUUUGGAAACUGUUUAACUUGAGUGCAGAAGGGGAGAGUGGAAUUCAAUGUGUAGCGGUGAAAUGCGUAGAUAUAUGGAGGAACACCGGUGGCGAAAGCGGCUCUCUGGUCUGUAACUGACGCUGAGGCUCGAAAGCGUGGGGAGCGAACAGG